GGCGCUGUACCCAAGUGGCUAAGGGGAAGGCCUGCAAAGCCUUAUUCAGUGGUUCGAAUCCACUCGGCGCCU
rnacentral:tRNA from 1 species